CGUCCCACAUGGUCAGAGGAACGGGCCACACCUCUCUGCACAGGUGUAUAAAGUAUGUGGUCGUCCCAGUAGACAGCCUGCCCAGUCAGUCAGCGGCCAGCAGGACGGAGCGUCCAUCCCUCUCAAAGCCUUCAUCAGAGAAACAGGAAACAGCCUGGCUACCAGGAGGAAAGAGUUCCUGAACAGUCUGCGUUUGUACCGUACCUUCUACGGUGGCCUGGCGGACCAGCUGUGUGUGAACCAGCUGGCCUCCGCCGAUGGACUGGCCUGCUGGAACGGAGCCGACGUUGUCAAGAGGUACGUGACCCCCCCCCGCAGCACCAUGGAGCGAUUCUGAAGUUCAAAAGGAGUAACUACGAGCCCUACACUGUUCCCAUCUAGCAUCUCUUUCUGUUUGUCUGUCUCCUCCUCCGUUCCCCUGGGGGACCUGUCCUCUCCUCGUUCCCCUG